rnacentral:rRNA from 1 species
AACGAACGCUGGCGGCAGGCUUAACACAUGCAAGUCGAGCGCCCCGCAAGGGGAGCGGCAGACGGGUGAGUAACGCGUGGGAACAUACCCUUUGGUUCGGAAUAACUCAGGGAAACUUGAGCUAAUACCGGAUACGUCCGUAAGGAGAAAGAUUUAUCGCCAAAGGAUUGGCCCGCGUCCGAUUAGCUAGUUGGUGAGGUAACGGCUCACCAAGGCUACGAUCGGUAGCUGGUCUGAGAGGAUGAUCAGCCACAUUGGGACUGAGACACGGCCCAAACUCCUACGGGAGGCAGCAGUGGGGAAUAUUGGACAAUGGGCGCAAGCCUGAUCCAGCCAUGCCGCGUGAGUGAUGAAGGCCUUAGGGUUGUAAAGCUCUUUUGUCCGGGAAGAUAAUGACUGUACCGGAAGAAUAAGCCCCGGCUAACUUCGUGCCAGCAGCCGCGUUAAU